rnacentral:rRNA from 1 species
AUUGAACGCUGGCGGCAGGCCUAACACAUGCAAGUCGAGCGGGGUUUUCGGACCUAGCGGCGGACGGGUGAGUAAUGCGUAGGAAGCUGCCCGAUAGAGGGGGAUACCAGUUGGAAACGACUGUUAAUACCGCAUAAUGUCUACGGACCAAAGUGUGGGACCUUCGGGCCACAUGCUAUCGGAUGCGCCUACGUGGGAUUAGCUAGUUGGUGAGGUAAUGGCUCGCCAAGGCGAGGAUCUCUAGCUGGUUUGAGAGGAUGAUCAGCCACACUGGAACUGAGACACGGUCCAGACUCCGACGGGAGGCAGCAGUGGGGAAUAUUGGACAAUGGGCGCAAGCCUGAUCCAGCCAUGCCGCGUGUGUGAAGAAGGCCUUCGGGUUGUAAAGCACUUUCAGCGAGGAGGAAGGGUGGUGUGUUAAUAGCACAUCAUUUUGACGCUACUCGCAGAAGAAGCACCGGCUAACUCUGUGCCAGCAGCCGCGGUAACAC